rnacentral:rRNA from 1 species
UACGAAGGGGGCGAGCGUUGUUCGGAUUUACUGGGCGUAAAGGGCGCGCAGGCGGUCAUUUUUGUCAGGCGUGAAAGCCCCGGGCUUAACCUGGGAACUGCGCUUGAAACGGGAUGACUAGAGAUCGGGAGAGGAGAGUGGAAUUCCCAGUGUAGAGGUGAAAUUCGUAGAUAUUGGGAAGAACACCGGUGGCGAAGGCGGCUCUCUGGACCGACACUGACGCUGAGGCGCGAAAGCGUGGGGAG